rnacentral:misc_RNA from 1 species
UAUGAAACAUGGACAGUCAAUGAUGCUUGAGCUAAGCUGCCAAUCUGAGUCUGUGCAAAAUAUAUUGCUGCUAAUAACUAAGGCUGAUCAUAAUCCCCUUUAUGAGGUAGAAGUACCAGGAUUAUACUUAUUUUUACAUACUGUUAAAUAAAUAUUAUCUUAAAUAAAAGAAAAAAGGCCCAUUUUGGCCUUGAAAGCAUUACCCAAUAGUCGUUUUGGCCCCUGAAUUAAAUUUGCAGUCAAAUCGACUCUUUAUUGUUUUUAAAAUGGCCAUAUCCAACCAAAUGCCACAAAAAGGACUAUUUUGGCCAAAAAAGAGGGUCAGGUGUGCACAUGAACUUAAAUGGCUGUCACCCUCUCAACUGUUCUUUAUUCUUCUUUGUUUGCCAAAGAAAGAGAGGAAGGAUGGGAUAGAAAUUGCAAGGCUGGGCGGGAGAGAGAUCUUGAGUGGAAUAGGAGAUU